rnacentral:rRNA from 1 species
AUUGAACGCUGGCGGCAGGCUUAACACAUGCAAGUCGGGCGGGGUGAUGGUGCUUGCACUAUCACUUAGCGGCGGACGGGUGAGUAAUGCUUAGGAAUCUGCCUAUUGGUGGGGGACAACAUCUCGAAAGGGAUGCUAAUACCGCAUACGUCUACGGGAAAAAGCAAGGGAUCACCUGUGACCUUGUCCUUAAUGAUUAGCCUAAGUCGGAUUAGCGAGUUGGUGGGGGAAAGGCCUACCAAGGCGACGGUCUGUAGCGGGUCUGAGAGGAUGAUCCGCCACACUGGGACUGAGACACGGCCCAGACUCCUACGGGAGGCAGCAGUGGGGAAUAUUGGACAAUGGGGGGAACCCUGAUCCAGCCAUGCCGCGUGUGUGAAGAAGGCCUUAUGGUUGUAAAGCACUUUAAGCGAGGAGGAGGCUCUUUUGGUUAAUACCCAAGAUGAGUGGACGUUACUCGCAGAAUAAGCACCGGCUAACUCUGUGCCAGCCGCCGCGGUAA